UACGUAGGCAGCAAGCGUUGUUCGGAGUUACUGGGCGUAAAGAGUGCGUAGGUGGUGCCCUAAGUCUGUUGUGAAAUCUCCCGGCUUAACUGGGAGGGUGCGGUGGAAACUGGGGUGCUUGAGUGUGGGAGAGGUAAGCGGAAUUCCUGGUGUAGCGGUGAAAUGCGUAGAUAUCAGGAGGAACACCGGUGGUGUAGACGGCUUACUGGACCACGACUGACACUGAGGCACGAAAGCGUGGGUAGCAAGCAGG
rnacentral:rRNA from 1 species